GCCAGCACCUUGCCUACAAUACUGCAGGAGAUUGGAUCAUCUUCCUGGAAACCUAGAUAAGGAAGAGGUUUGGAAGAGCCUGGGAAGAGGCCUAAAAGAACAGCCAAAGGACUGAAGAAAGUACCACAAGAAUGGUGUUUUUGGGCAAGAAAGAUGAAGACUCGGGGAAACCUGGAGAGAAGAGGAGCUGCUCAUGUGUCUCCUCGAAUCCAAAAGACCAUGGAAGAAUUCCAGCAAGAAAAACUUCUUGUUAGUCUUGGUCUGGACCAAGCGAGUGAACUGAGGAAGGCUUUACAUUUUUAUAAUUUUUUCAAAUUUUAUUUACCCAGGAAAGGGAGAGGGAAACUGAGACAGUAGCUGUACCUGACAGUGAAAGGACUUAUCCUGACCUUUAUUGCAUUUUUAAGCAUGUACGUCAGUUGGAGUGCAUAAGUGCUUUGCUGGAUUGGAGUGAAAGCACCUUGAAAGUUUGAACCCUUGAGGAGACAUAGUUAUGUAAUCCUGUCUCAGCCAUUGGGUAGACAAACAAAAUAGCUAUUGGCCAGGUAAUGGUCUGAUCAUGUCCUGAGCACACUCAAGUCUUAGUUGGUUUUAGUGGGAAUUAAGGGCACUUAAAAACUCAAGAUUUAGGACAGCAAAUAAAGCAAGACUAUUCUAGAUUACAUAACUCAUAUUGAACCAGUUGUAUUGUGUUAGGCAAGCAAUGGUAUAACAGAUAUAUUUUUAUACUUAUCGUAUUUCAGUUUGAU